UACGAAGGGUGCAAACGUUGCUCGGAAUCAUUGGGCGUAAAGCGCACGUAGGCGGCUUCAAAAGUCGGAUGUGAAAUCCCUCGGCUCAACCGAGGACGUGCAUCCGAAACUGUGAGGCUUGAGUACUGAAGAGGAUCGCGGAAUUCCCGGUGUAGAGGUGAAAUUCGUAGAUAUCUGGAGGAACACCGGUGGCGAAGGCGGCAUCCUGGACCGAUAUUGACGCUGAGGCACGAAAGCGUGGGGAGCAAACAGG
rnacentral:rRNA from 1 species